AGUGAAGUGCCUGAAAAAAGGAUUACCUUGAUAGGGUAAAUAAUGUAUAAUCUACCUUCAUUA
rnacentral:tRNA from 1 species